CUACGGGGGGCUGCAGUGGGGAAUCUUAGACAAUGGGCGCAAGCCUGAUCUAGCCAUGCCGCGUGAGUGAUGAAGGCCUUAGGGUCGUGAAGCUCUUUCGCUGGGGAAGAUAAUGACGGUACCCAGUAAAGAAACCCCGGCUAACUCCGUGCCAGCAGCCGCGGUAAUACGGAGGGGGUUAGCGUUGUUCGGAAUUACUGGGCGUAAAGCGCGCGUAGGCGGACUGUUAAGUCGGGGGUGAAAUCCCGGGGCUCAACCCCGGAACGGCCUUCGAUACUGGCAGUCUGGAGUUCGAGAGAGGUGAGUGGAAUUCCGAGUGUAGAGGUGAAAUUCGUAGAUAUUCGGAGGAACACCAGUGGCGAAGGCGGCUCACUGGCUCGAUACUGACGCUGAGGUGCGAAAGUGUGGGGAGCAAACAGGAUUAGAUACCCGGGUAGUC
rnacentral:rRNA from 1 species